rnacentral:rRNA from 1 species
UUGAACGCUGGCGGCAUGCCUUACACAUGCAAGUCGAACGGCAGCACGGAGCUUGCUCUGGUGGCGAGUGGCGAACGGGUGAGUAAUAUAUCGGAACGUACCCUAGAGUGGGGGAUAACGUAGCGAAAGUUACGCUAAUACCGCAUACGAUCUAAGGAUGAAAGUGGGGGAUCGCAAGACCUCAUGCUCGUGGAGCGGCCGAUAUCUGAUUAGCUAGUUGGUAGGGUAAAGGCCUACCAAGGCAUCGAUCAGUAGCUGGUCUGAGAGGACGACCAGCCACACUGGAACUGAGACACGGUCCAGACUCCUACGGGAGGCAGCAGUGGGGAAUUUUGGACAAUGGGCGAAAGCCUGAUCCAGCAAUGCCGCGUGAGUGAAGAAGGCCUUCGGGUUGUAAAGCUCUUUUGUCAGGGAAGAAACGGUGAAAGCUAAUAUCUUUUGCUAAUGACGGUACCUGAAGAGUAAGCACCGGCUAACUACGU